GACAGCAUGGUGUAGUGGUUUGAGUGUUAGACUAUGACUCUGUAGACCAGGGUUUGAUUCCCUGCUCAGCCA